ACAGUCAGGCCAAACGCCCCCAAUCCACGCCAGGGGAGACUGUGCCCAGGGCUGCGGCACACACGGCCUGAAGCCGGCUGCAGGGAGUGGGCUUGGCCAGCCGCUGGCUACAGCGGGAACUGUCCAGCCUGUGGCCAGGGAGCAGCUGAGGGAGGCAGGAUGGCAGGAAGUGGCCGGGCAGCUCAGGCCACCUGCCACAGGUGGUCGUGGAAAGAGAGUCCCUCAAACUGAGCUUGCAAACUGAAGUCGUAAACUAACCUGAGAAAGGCAAGUACAAAUAACAGGAAUCUCAAAAUAAACAAGCUGGAGAUCUUAAAAGAGAUGAAAGAAGUCCUGACUGUCACACAGUCCCUGGUCUGACUGAGCGGCCAGGCAGGAGGAACACCCGUGCUGAGAGGCCACCCCACAGGAUCUGGGCUUGUGUUACCCACAAGUUCAAGGAGCAGAGGAUGACUGUCCGCUCGGCAAAUGCUCACUGGCACUGCUGUGUCUGCAGCAGGCUGGGCAUGGCUGGGGCUCUGGGACUCUGGGACUGCAAGGUCCAGUGUGAUGGGUUCUGAAGCCGGCACCGCAGAGCCACCCGGUGAGGUUCCAGCCACCAGCGAGGAGGGCACUAGGUCACCGACACUGGGCUGGGGCCUCGUCUAAUCUUAGGUUGCGAGUCUCUUUGAGAAGGGUACAGAGGUGAACGCACUCCAGAGGGGAGGGAGGGAGACCCUGACCGCCAAGGUGACACACACCAGGGAGGGAAAUGGAUGGUGCCUGUCAAGGUGACACACACCAGGGCGUGGAGGGGGGCUCUGCCGCUGACUGACGGUGACCUCAGACAUGUGGCCCCGUAGACACCAGCCUCCUGGGUGUUGGGACUGGCGCUAGACCUGGGAAUCACUCAGCACCGGCCCGGCACACAGCAGAUGCUCCGUGAACUCAGCCUCGCUCCCAGGGACACGCCCCCCACACCCACCGUGCUUGCCUGAGCCAGGAGCCCCACGCCCAGGCCCCGCCCGCGCCUCCUACCAGCUCUCGGCUCCACCGUCUUGUUGGCACCCUCCUCCAUGAACAUGAACCGCCCUCCGCCGAAGUCCUCCAGGUAGUUGGAGAGGUACAGCAGCGAGGUGUAGUCGAAGGAGCCGUAGGUCACCUGAGGGCAGAGCCGGGAGGAGGGGGCAGAAUGGGCUCUCAGCAUGCGACCAGGGCAGGUGCUGCUUCUCUCUCUUAUUUUUUGUUUAUUUAUUUUUUGAGACAGAGUCUUGCUCCAUCACCCAGGCUGGAGUGCAGUGAUGCGAUCUCGGCUCACUGCAAUCUCCGCCUCCCAGGUUCAAGCAAUUCUCCUGCCUCAGCCUCCCGAGUAGCUGGGGCUACAGGCACCCACCACCACACCCAGCUAAUUUUGUAUUUUUAGUAGAGACAGGGUUUCACCUUGUUGGUCAGGUUGGUCUCAAACUCUUGAUCUCAGGUGAUCCACCCACCUUGGCCUCCCAAAGUGCUGGGAUUACGGGCAUGAGCCACUGAACCCAGCCUCUUUUUUUUUUUAAUAGGGUAUCGCUUUUUUUACAGACAGCAUCACUCAGGCUGUAGUGCAGUCACAGCACUGUCAUUGCUUACCAUAACCUUGAACUCCUGGCUUUAAACAAUCCUCCUGCCUCAGCAUCCCGGGUAGCCAGGACCACAGGCGCACGACACUACAACCAGCUAAUUUUUUCUUUUCUAUUUUUUUUUUUGUAGAGAUGGCAUCAGUCCACCCACUUUGGCCUCCCGGGUGCUGGGAUUAGAGGCAUGAGCCACUGUGCCUGGCUGAUUUUUGUAUUUUUUGUAGAGGUUGGGGCGGGGUGGUGGGGGCAGGGGGGCGGGUCUCGCUAUGAUGCCCAGGCUGGUCUCAAACUCCUGGCCCCAAGUGAUCCUCCCACCUCAGCCUCCCGGGUGCUGGGAUUACGCGCGUGAGUCACCAACAUCUGUGCUUCUUAUUUUCCAGAAGGUAAAUUAACAACAUGUGUCGGCCCCAUUAAUGAGGCCAUUUGUUCCUUUGCAACUUUAAAAACCCUCUGCAGAGUCUCCAGCCUCAUGCAUUGUUGCCCAGGAUUUCCUGUAAGCUCAGAUGUUGGAGCAGCCGUGUUCCAGCAAAGGCUACGGGCAGCAGGCCAGCCAGCAGGGUGUGCAUGCUGGGAUGGUCCCCCGGUGCCAGCCUCGCUGCCCACACGUGGGAACCAGAGGCAGCGGUGGACGCGCUUUUCUCCUUUCUUCAGAAGUGGAGCAAUCCCAAGCUUUUUAAAACUUGUAAUAAAAUGCAGAACCUAA